AAUAUAUUUAAAUAUUUACAUGAAAAAUAACUGAUUUCCAGGACAGUAUUAUAUUCAUAUAUAAAGUUAAAAGUUUUCUUUCCUGUUUCACGCAACAUUUAAAGCACCGAUAGAAAUUUCAACUAAGACAACGGAUUUUGAAUCCACUGUUAACACCACCACCAUCAUCAUCAUCAUCAUCAUCAUCAUCAGUGUGUGUGUGCUGUUGAUUGGAGGAUUUACGCUGUUUGUGAUUUACAAACUGAGACACAAGGGAACUCAAGGUUCAAGACCUUCAUCCCAAGACAAUGAACAUGCUUCUACUGUUUAUGAGAACGACCUGCCUAAUUUACCCACAUAUGAAAACUUGAACAUCAAAAUAAGAUCGAAUGAUCAGAAUCUGGAUUCAUCAACAAACCAGUCCGAUUCAACCUACCAAACACUGGACCCACGCACCAACCAAUCAGAUUCAGGCUACAUGUCUCUGAGUAACACUGCCGACCAAUCACAUUCACACUACCAAUGUCUGAAUGCUAGAACUCAGGUGAACUCAGUUUACCAGACCCUUCAUUCCUAAUGCGUUCAUUUAAAAUUUUUUCCAUUAUGAUGUAAGGUUAUUAAUUAAAACAUAAUUGUUGCCUAAAUUUCUAUUGUAUGAGUUGCAGCAUGUUGCUAUUGGAAAAUCCUCACCUCAGAGUUUUAAUAGUUAUGCCUAAUAACUGAUUAUUUACCAAUAACAGCACACUUUACUGUGUUUUAUUUUAUACUUACCACAUUGCUUUUUCAUUUUCUGGGUUUUUAUGUUAAUUCUGUAAACUUUAAAAUGUUAUUUAACGUGAAAACAAAUGCAUUACAUAUAAUCUAUGUGUGAAUGAAAUGUUGGUGACAUGGUGAAAUGGUUUAACUGACCAUUAUGAGUUGGUGAAGAUUGUAUCAUAACACCUGAGUGAAAGUUUUUAUUGUAUACAUGUCAGUAUUAUAAGUGUAUUUGCAUAUGAAGUAAAAUUUGACUGGAAAUUCAAAUAAUAAAAGAAUAACUGUGAA